GGGCGCUCCGAGUGCCGGCCCGCGGGGCGGAGGGCCCUGAGGCGCCGGGCAGCGCGGUGGUCGCGGUGGUCGCGGUCCCUCAACCGCUCGCCAUCACAUUUGUGCUGCAGCUACCUCCCAGCCCCGCCGCCCUCAGCGUCUGUUGGUCAUACAACAACGCUGCUUUGCGCUUGUAUCAGGGCAAAAUGCAGAGAACGCAGAAAGCAGCUCGCGUCCACCCGAGUGUUUCACUUCUCCUAAGCGAAAACGUGAAGCGUAAAAUCAGAGUUCACACGCGCUGGUCGAAAGCAACGUGCGUGCAGAGUAAGGGGAGAAGUAAACAACCCAAAAUUCAGCGGUGGUUAAACUGUACAGCGCUUGUUGUGUGUGGGAAUGGGUUGCCAGGAUAAACGGACGGACGUGGGCCUUGGGCUGUCUGUGACAUGGCUACACAGCAAACUGCAGGAGCGGAACGUGGAAGAUGAAAUACUCCUCAGCUAUCGCUGCUCCCUGAGCCCAGCUGUCUCGAGCACCUGACUGCAGAGAGUUGCACGUGUGCUUAACUUUACUGAUUAAGGCAAAAGGAGACACAGCUCAUUACUCCAGAAACCACAUUUUCAUCACCAAUUUGUGGUCUCUCGGGGGGAAGGCGAAAUGUGAAGCAGGCAGCAAUCUGCUUUAACCUUUCUUCACAAGCAGACAAGGCAUAACAAUAAAAAAACAUCAUUUAUUGUAUACGUGGGAAGGUAUAUAGGGGCAUAAUGCUGCUGUAUUCAUUAUUAAAUCUAUUUCUGUAUCAUGGUCAUUAUUAUUCCCUCUGAACUUUUUCUGUUCUCGUUGCACUGAUAUCUAAUACAAUUUUAAAAUGUUUGCACACAGCCUUCUUGUUUCAUUGCAGACACUUUGCUGAGCUCUCCGUAUUCCCAGGCUCAUUCACAGAGGUUCAGUGCAGUGGAGUUCCUGUUUCCAGCCCUCGGUUAAUGCUUGGAUGGGAUGAAAUUGGUUACUGUGUUUACUACAGCAGUAUCUUUAGCGAUAACUGUUGUUUCUCUGUGCUGAUAAGCUCUGAAAAACACUGUACCAAAACAUAGAUAAAGGAGAGGAUAUGGAUCUGUAAUAGACAUAAUAAAAAUGGGAAAGGAAGAGAUUUACAGCAGCAGAAACGCAUUGUGGUUUAGAUGAGCAACGAAUGAACUUUCAGAUCAUUCAACUUCGGUUUUCUUCGCACAGAAACAAAAUCUUAAUUUCCUCAGUAACUCCUACUGAGCUACUUGCCUGAGACAGAGCGAAGGAGACUAGAACUAUGGGUCUGUGUGGGAAAGUCUGACAACAGAAACUUGGUGUAUGUGAAGUGUGAGCAUUAGAGAAGAAAGUGUGGCAUACGUGGAUGUGUGCCUUAGUCAUCCCACGAGUGCUCCAUGCUCUGGAAAUGAACCUUGCAGUCUGUGAAUAUGCACCGAGCUUCAGGAAUGAGCUGCAGCAGCACCAGCCAGCUGGAAAAACACACGCUCGAGAUUAUUUUGCCUAUUUUUUGAACUUCACUGCCAUCUGCUGCUGGAAGGAAACUCGGACCUCAGGCUGGGAAAGUUCAGCACUCUGACCCUCGCUAAAAGCAGCUCAACUAUUCUCCUGCAUAAGCUGAUUGCACCACCUCUCUGUUCCACAGCAUGCUGCCUUGCUUCAUACACCUGCAGAAAUAAAGGCAAGUAAGUCCUGAUGUGGUGCUCUGAUACAGUACGUGUGGCUCAUUUCAGCUUGCUUUCUGAAUCAAAAAAUACAGGAUAUUUUCUGCUAUACAAAGGGAGACUACAGCAGAAGGACUGACUACGAGGCAGACAGCUAGAAAGCAUAGAUUGACAAAAGAGAAAAGGCAUUGUCUGGUAUUUUAAAAAAUCUUCAGUAGAAAGAGAGUUUGGAGAGAGCCUUGCCAGAAGAGAUUAGAGAGAGAAGUGGCUUUAAGAUCUUGGUGAAAGGUUAAAUAUUCUCCCUGUGGAAUGGUGCCUGAAGUAGACGGGGUAGCUGCACUUCCCACAGGAAGAAUUACUCAGUGCUGCCACUCAGUGCAUCUGCCCCACACCGACCAUACAGAGCUUGCUGCUCAGCUCCCCACCAGCAAAAGGAAAUGAUUUCUACUGAAUAUAUCUACAGUAGUGGAUGGGUUUCUACUUUACAGUAAGUCUGAAUAAGAGAAGCAAUGCAUAUCUGCAGCCAUAGGUAAUACUAGCCAAGGGUGCGGUGCUAAAAGAGUCCCACUAAGUCCUAAGAGCAUUGCCAAGAGAUAGAGAGCUGGAAGGUGAUUAUAUUUCCUGCACAGAGGCAGAUCUAGGAGACAAGAAGUAGCUUCACAUUUACUUCUCAUACUAUGCAAAACACAGACACUGAGUAAGAGAGCAGCAGUAAUGGGAAGCAGAGCUUGCUGGAGGCAGCUUUAAAUGCUUGCUUUGUAAAUGAGCUGUGAUUUUAAUUGCCAUUUGGACCAAACUAGUCUGGACAGCCUCCAACAUAGCCCAAGUGUUAGUCUAUCUGUAGGAAUGCUUUACCUCAUUGUAAGAGUCAUGGAAGUUACAAGGCAUCCUUCUCCAUAUGUUUCUAGAAGGAAUAGUCACUGAUAAGAGGGCAUGCUUUGGGGAUACACAGUAUAAUUCCAAACAUAUUACUUCAAGCUUUUCGAACUCACAAGAAAAUGAACUGCUGGAGACGGCAGAGAAAUUGCUAGGAGAAUUCUACAACAAAAAGACCUCAUUAGCUUUGAACUAUAAAAAAAUCCAGCACAGUCGCUGGAGUCAACCAAACUGCUGCUUAUGGGUUGACUGAUAAGGAAAAUGCUAACAAUCUUGGAGGUGAAUUUUUGUCCUAGGUGGCCCUGCUUAGAGGAUGCGAGGCUGUGUAAUAAGGCACUGCUAGCUCUCCCUAUUUAUAUUAUGGGCCCCUUGCAAUAUUCAGUGUUUGUUUAAAGCCCAGCUCCUGGAAUCGAGAGAUUAGGUGAAAGUCUCUGUUUUAAUUAAGAAACAAACAAGAAAGGUUUUCUUCAUUUUAGGGGGGGGUGGGGAAAAGCACUCUGAGGGCUCAAAAGCCAAAAAGCAGACAGAAAAAAAAAA